rnacentral:rRNA from 1 species
UACGGGGGGGGCAAGCGUUGUUCGGAAUUACUGGGCGUAAAGGGCGCGUAGGCGGCAAUUCAAGUCAUCUGUGAAAUCUCCGGGCUUAACUCGGAACGGUCAGAUGAUACUGCUUUGCUAGAGUGCGGAAGGGGCAAUCGGAAUUCUCGGUGUAGCGGUGAAAUGCGUAGAUAUCGAGAGGAACACCAGAGGUGAAGACGGGUUGCUGGGCCGACACUGACGCUGACAGCGCGAAAGCCAGGGGAGCAAACGGG